GCUGGCUGCGGAGAACGGCCGGCUGAGAGGAAGUUGGCUGCGGCGAGGAUCGCUGGUUGCUGGCUGGCGCUGCGGGGCCUGUGGUAAUGGGACCUGGACACCUCCGGAGGUGGCGCGGCCGAGUAGGCCCCUGGCUGGGAGAGAUCGCGAGCCCCAGAGCCUUAGCGCUUCGGCGGGCUGUGGAGUGGGAAACCCAGCCGCUGCGCCUGUAGAGACCAGGUCGACAGCAUCCGUUCUUGGCCCCUGCUGGAGGCGCAGAGCUUGGCUGCCCCAAAGGAGCACCAGCCGUCGGAGGAAGCUGAGGACCCAAAGAGGGGGAAAAAUACACAAUGUACACUUGUGGAGAUUUUCCAUAUUGAUUGAAGAAAAUGUUAAGGAUACUUAA
rnacentral:lncRNA from 1 species